rnacentral:rRNA from 1 species
UACGUAGGGGGCAAGCGUUGUCCGGAUUUAUUGGGCGUAAAGAGCGUGUAGGCGGCUUUACAGGUCCGUUGUGAAAACUCGAGGCUCAACCUCGAGACGCCGGUGGAAACCGUAAAGCUAGAGUCCGGAAGAGGAGAGUGGAAUUCCUGGUGUAGCGGUGAAAUGCGCAGAUAUCAGGAAGAACACCCGUGGCGAAGGCGGUUCUCUGGGACGGUACUGACGCUGGAGACGCGAAAGCGUGGGGAGCGAACAGG